CAGGGAGAAGCCGAAAACCCCAAAAAGAGUAGGCA
rfam:Pedobacter cryoconitis strain PAMC 27485, complete genome.